UGAGCAGUUUUGGGAAGGCUUCCGUCUUCGCCUCACUGGGGCCCCUGACAUGACAGCACCCUCAAGUGCCCGUGAAAAGAAGCUGGGUGAUCCAAAGGAGGAAAGUCCCAAGUUCUCAACAGGAUUGCAAGCAGAAGACCCUGGGUUCAAUCCCCAGCAUCUCCAGAACGCAUCUGCUGCCGCUGCCAGUGAUUCUUAGUGAACAGCCAUGCUCAGGAACACACAGCCAUCAUCUUCCAGAAAAUCAGGGUUGCUGCUGAUCUCAUUUUACUAAUCUGGAACUGAAACCGAGAUGCCGAUACGAGACAUGUCUGGCGCAAGGAAGCUGAGCCACAGCUGCUGCCCCUGCUUCAGAGGUUGCACACCGAGUCACAAGUCUGCAUUUUAAAAGAACCCGGGACAUUUCUUCAUUCGUGAAGUCAUCUGCAAUGCAAUCGUUCAUUCCCUCCUCUGGUUGCCACGUCUGAUUUAUUAACUUAUGCAUCCUGCACCAUCAGCAUAUAUCGAAAUACGAACAAUGCAAUCAAAUGCAAAGCUAGAUAAAGCAGUCACAAAACAAAUCUCAAUCAGUUUUUUAUUUCCCCCUGUACAGACGAGGCAGUCACACAUGAUGGUCAUGUAGGCCUGUUUCUCUGAAUCUGCACGAGGGUUUUCAUACUUCUUCCUACACCAGAGUACUGUCAGUUUCAGAAAUCCAUAAUGUUUGA